rnacentral:lncRNA from 1 species
AAAUCUUGAACUCUACAACAAUUGUCCAAAAAAUGUCAACAAAUCUUUCCACUUCAUUAAAUGUAUGUGAGAGUGUCUCUUGGAUGGUUGUCGUCAACUAUAUGACAUGGAAAACAAUGGUGUAAAAUACAAGAUGCAUAUUUGUGCAAAGAAUGAAAAUAAUAAUAUUCAUGAAGGAAGGUUAUGGAUAAAUCCGAGACUCUAUUUUCAAAUUUUUGCAUUUGCCUAUCUCUUUAUAUGUUCUCAUGUCUUAAAUUGUACUUAUAUUUCUAC